rnacentral:rRNA from 1 species
AAUAGAUACCCAGGUAGUCCACGCCCUAAACGAUGUCAACUAGUUGUUGGGGAUUCAUUUCUUCAGUAACGUAGCUAACGCGUGAAGUUGACCGCCUGGGGAGUACGGUCGCAAGAUUAAAACUCAAAGGAAUUGACGGGGACCCGCACAAGCGGUGGAUGAUGUGGAUUAAUUCGAUGCAACGCGAAAAACCUUACCUACCCUUGACAUGCCACUAACGAAGCAGAGAUGCAUCAGGUGCCCGAAAGGGAAAGUGGACACAGGUGCUGCAUGGCUGUCGUCAGCUCGUGUCGUGAGAUGUUGGGUUAAGUCCCGCAACGAGCGCAACCCUUAUCUUUAGUUGCUACGCAAGGGCACUCUAGAGAGACUGCCGGUGACAAACCGGAGGAAGGUGAGGAUGACGUCAAGUCCUCAUGGCCCUUAUGGGUAGGGCUUCACACGUCAUACAAUGGUGCGUACAGAGGGUUGCCAACCCGCGAGGGGGAGCUAAUCCCAGAAAACGCAUCGUAGUCCGGAUCGUAGU